rnacentral:rRNA from 1 species
UACAGAGGGUGCAAGCGUUGUUCGGAAUUAUUGGGCGUAAAGCGCGUGUAGGCGGCAGUGCAAGUCGGGUGUGAAAGCCCUCAGCUCAACUGAGGAAGUGCGCUCGAAACUGCAUUGCUUGAGUACCGGAGAGGAUGGCGGAAUUCCCGAAGUAGAGGUGAAAUUCGUAGAUAUCGGGAGGAACACCGGUGGCGAAGGCGGCCAUCUGGACGGAUACUGACGCUGAGACGCGAAAGCGUGGGUAGCAAACAGG